UGGAAACAGAAUCCAUGUGCCUAAAGUCCACA
rnacentral:piRNA from 1 species